rnacentral:rRNA from 1 species
CACGUAGGGGGCAAGCGUUGUCCGGAUUCAUUGGGCGUAAAGAGCUCGUAGGCGGUUCGAUAAGUCGGGUGUGAAACCUCCAGGCUCAACCUGGAGACGCCACCCGAUACUGUCGUGACUAGAGUCCAGUAGGGGAGCGUGGAAUUCCUGGUGUAGCGGUGAAAUGCGCAGAUAUCAGGAAGAACACCCGUGGCGAAGGCGGCUCUCUGGAACGCAACUGACGCUGAGACGCGAAAGCGUGGGGAGCAAACAGG